rnacentral:misc_RNA from 1 species
GAUGAAGAACGUAGCGAAAUGCGAUAAGUAAUGUGAAUUGCAGAAUUCAGUGAAUCAUCGAAUCUUUGAACGCACAUUGCGCCCGCCAGUAUUCUGGCGGGCAUGCCUGUUCGAGCGUCAUUUCAACCAUCAAGCCCUGCUUGCGUUGGGGUCCUGCGGCUGCCCGCAGGCCCUGAAAACCAGUGGCGGGCUCGCUAGUCACACCGAGCGCAGUAGCACAUCUCGCUCAGGGCGUGCGGCGGGCUCCUGCCGUGAAACCCCCCACUGUAACCCCAAAGGUUGACCUCGGAUCAGGUAGGAAUACCCGCUGAACUUAAGCAUAUCAAUAAGCGGAGGA